CGGGACGGGUGAGUAAUGUAUGGGGAUCUGCCUGAUGGCGGGGGAGUAACUACUGGAAACGGUAGCUAAUACCGCAUAAUGUCUGCGGACCAAAGCGGGGGACCGUCCGGGCCUCGCGCCAUCAGGUGAACCCAUAUGGGAUUAGCUAGUAGGUAAGGUAACGGCUUACCUAGGCGACGAUCCCUAGCUGGUCUGAGAGGAUGAUCAGCCACACUGGGACUGAGACACGGCCCAG
rnacentral:rRNA from 1 species